AUUGAACGCUGGCGGCAUGCCUUACACAUGCAAGUCGAACGGCAGCACGGGUGCUUGCACCUGGUGGCGAGUGGCGAACGGGUGAGUAAUACAUCGGAACAUGUCCUGUAGUGGGGGAUAGCCCGGCGAAAGCCGGAUUAAUACCGCAUACGAUCUACGGAUGAAAGCGGGGGACCUUCGGGCCUCGCGCUAUAAGGUUGGCCGAUAGCUGAUUAGCUAGUUGGUGGGGUAAAGGCCUACCAAGGCGACGAUCAGUAGCUGGUCUGAGAGGACGACCAGCCACACUGGGACUGAGACACGGCCCAGACUCCUACGGGAGGCAGCAGUGGGGAAUUUUGGACAAUGGGCGAAAGCCUGAUCCAGCAAUGCCGCGUGUGUGAAGAAGGCCUUCGGGUUGUAAAGCACUUUUGUCCGGAAAGAAAUCCUUGGCUCUAAUACAGUCGGGGGAUGACGGUACCGGAAGAAUAAGCACCGGCUAACUACGUG
rnacentral:rRNA from 1 species